UGCAAGUCGAACGGUGAAGCCAAGCUUGCUUGGUGGAUCAGUGGCGAACGGGUGAGUAACACGUGAGCAACCUGCCCUGGACUCUGGGAUAAGCGCUGGAAACGGCGUCUAAUACUGGAUAUGAGCUGCGAUCGCAUGGUCGUGGUUGGAAAGAUUUUUCGGUCUGGGAUGGGCUCGCGGCCUAUCAGCUUGUUGGUGAGGUAAUGGCUCACCAAGGCGUCGACGGGUAGCCGGCCUGAGAGGGUGACCGGCCACACUGGGACUGAGACACGGCCCAGACUCCUACGGGAGGCAGCAGUGGGGAAUAUUGCACAAUGGGCGGAAGCCUGAUGCAGCAACGCCGCGUGAGGGAUGACGGCCUUCGGGUUGUAAACCUCUUUUAGCAAGGAAGAAGCGAAAGUGACGGUACUUGCAGAAAAAGCGCCGGCUAACUACGUGCCAGCAGCCGCGGUAAUACGUAGGGCGCAAGCGUUAUCCGGAAUUAUUGGGCGUAAAGAGCUCGUAGGCGGUUUGUCGCGUCUGCUGUGAAAUCUGGGGGCUCAACCCCCAGCCUGCAGUGGGUACGGGCAGACUAGAGUGCGGUAGGGGAGAUUGGAAUUCCUGGUGUAGCGGUGGAAUGCGCAGAUAUCAGGAGGAACACCGAUGGCGAAGGCAGAUCUCUGGGCCGUAACUGACGCUGAGGAGCGAAAGGGUGGGGAGCAAACAGGCUUAGAUACCCUGGUAGUCCACCCCGUAAACGUUGGGAACUAGUUGUGGGGUCCAUUCCACGGAUUCCGUGAC
rnacentral:rRNA from 1 species